rnacentral:rRNA from 1 species
GACGUAGGGCGCGAGCGUUGUCCGGAUUUAUUGGGCGUAAAGAGCUCGUAGGCGGCUUGUCGCGUCGACUGUGAAAACCCGCGGCUCAACUGUGGGCUUGCAGUCGAUACGGGCAGGCUGGAGUUCGGUAGGGGAGACUGGAAUUCCUGGUGUAGCGGUGAAAUGCGUAGAUAUCGAGAGGAACACCUGCGGCGAAGGCGGGUUGCUGGGCUGACACUGACGCUGAUGCGCGAAAGCCAGGGGAGCGAACGGG